UGAUCCGAAAUAUAGUGAAGCUAAUUUGUCUGCCAGUCUACGUCUGCCCAUAAUAGGGACAAUCAAUUUUAUCCGACACUUCAAAACUGUUUUGCUGCCUGAAAGAAGACGCUGUUACGAUGAACUUUUCCAACAAAAAUAUCUUAUUUCGCCUAUAUCUCAUGGGAUUUACAUGCACCUUUGUGCUCGACGCUAGCCAAGAUACUGUGAAGAUCGACCAAGCUGAGGAGCCUACUGAAGCACCUACGUCAAUGCGAGGCCCAAAGUACUGCGUUGACGUCGGCUUCCGAUGCACUUUCCGGAAAUGCUGCCCACCUUAUGGAUGUGCACCCCCAAUAUAUAGGUGCACAGUGCCGUAGUCCGUUUUCAAUGAAAUGGAAGUGAUGUGUUGAGUACAGAACACGCCUCAAAACUUGGCAAAUAAACUGUCACAAAGAGCCUCAAAAUAAAAUACAUGACCCAGCUUUACAUCAGACAUUAAACUGUUGUUUGUCCGUA